rnacentral:tRNA from 1 species
GGGGCUGUAGCUCAUUUGGUAGAGCGCCGCGUUUGCACCGCGGAGGCGAGGGGUUCGAGCCCCCUCAGCUCCACCA